GACGAACGCUGGCGGCGUGGAUUAGGCAUGCAAGUCGAACGGUAUCAUCCUUUCGGGGGUGAGAGAGUGGCGAACUGGUGAGUAACACGUAGGUUAUCUACCCUCAAGACGGGGACAACCCAGGGAAACUUGGGCUAAUACCGGAUGUGAGCAACUUUUAGUUGUUUGAAAGGUGGCGUAAGCUGUCGCUUGGGGAUGAGCCUGCGUCCUAUUAGUUAGUUGGUGAGGUAACGGCUCACCUAGGCAAUGAUAGGUAGGCGGCCUUAACGGGUGGUCGCCCACACUGGGAUUGAGAUACGGCCCAGACUCCUACGGGAGGCAGCAGUCGAGAAUAGUCUACAAUGGUCGGAAGACUGAUAGUGCGACGCCGCGUGAACGAUGAAUCCCUUCGGGGUGUAAAGUUCUUUUAUAUGUGAGCAGUGCUUCUUAUAUUAACAGUAUGGGGAGAGAGAUAUUAGCAUAUGAAUAAGCAACGGCUAACUCCGUGCCAGCAGCGCGGUAAACU
rnacentral:rRNA from 1 species